rnacentral:rRNA from 1 species
GAUGAACGCUGGCGGCGUGCCUAAUACAUGCAAGUCGAGCGAACAGACGAGGAGCUUGCUCCUCUGACGUUAGCGGCGGACGGGUGAGUAACACGUGGAUAACCUACCUAUAAGACUGGGAUAACUUCGGGAAACCGGAGCUAAUACCGGAUAAUAUAUUGAACCGCAUGGUUCAAUAGUGAAAGACGGUUUUGCUGUCACUUAUAGAUGGAUCCGCGCCGCAUUAGCUAGUUGGUAAGGUAACGGCUUACCAAGGCGACGAUGCGUAGCCGACCUGAGCGGGUGAUCGGCCACACUGGAACUGAGACACGGUCCAGACUCCUACGGGAGGCAGCAGUAGGGAAUCUUCCGCAAUGGGCGAAAGCCUGACGGAGCAACGCCGCGUGAGUGAUGAAGGUCUUCGGAUCGGAAAACUCUGUUAUUAGGGAAGAACAAAUGUGUAAGUAACUAUGCACGUCUUGACGGUACCUAAUCAGAAAGCCACGGCUAACUACGUG